rnacentral:misc_RNA from 1 species
GAUAAAGAACGCAGCGAAAUGCGAUAAGUAGUGUGAAUUGCAGAAUUCAGUGAAUCAUCGAAUCUUUGAACGCACAUUGCGCCCUUUGGUAUUCCAAAGGGCAUGCCUGUUCGAGCGUCAUUUGUACCCUCAAGCUUUGCUUGGUGUUGGGCGUCUUGUCUCUAGCUUUGCUGGAGACUCGCCUUAAAGUAAUUGGCAGCCGGCCUACUGGUUUCGGAGCGCAGCACAAGUCGCACUCUCUAUCAGCAAAGGUCUAGCAUCCAUUAAGCCUUUUUUUUCAACUUUUGACCUCGGAUCAGGUAGGGAUACCCGCUGAACUUAAGCAUAUCAAUAAGCGGAGGA